UAGUUGGAUGAUGACAGGAGGUAAAUCAGUUAUUAAUGAAUUUCCCAUUAAUGUUGUCCAAUCUUUUUUAAUUAGUUCUUUACAGUGGCGAACACUAUUUGCCCACAUCUCCGGAGUGUAAUGACCAAGAGCUUUAAGAGCUUUUUGCCAAGUCUCCUUGACACGACAGAUCUUUUUCUCCGAGCUGGACUGAACAUGUUUAUUGUAAUAAGUUUUUAAGAACGCCCAAUAUAGUUCAAUGGGAUUAUAUUGGCAAUUGUAUGGAGGAAGGCGAAGAACAGUAUGGCCAUGGUCUCUUAUUAAUUUGUCAAUUUCAAAGGAUUUUUCAAUUUGAGGCUUGUAAUAACGGAUUAUUUCCCAUAACGAUUUUUUAUUUAAGAAACUUGGAGCUUUCUCGAUUUGUUUUGAGUGAUAUGGAGCAUUAUCCAUUACUACCGCACACUUCGCACCCAAAUUAUUUAAUGCUGGAAGUAAUUGAUUUUUCACCCAUUCCAUAAAAAUAAUUGACGUCAUAUUUUUAUGAUAAUCUCUGUGCUCCGUGUUGUCACUGAGCAAGAGAUCGCAAUUUGGCAAAAACCCUGACGAAGUGCCUGCGUGCAAGAUUGUAAAUCUUUUUCCUUCGCCUUCUGCUCUUUGCGGAAUACCGAAUCUUUCAUUUUCAUUUACCCAUUGAUAAACUUGGGUGCCAUUUUCGUAAA